AAUGACAAAGCCAAAAAUUCAGGCCUUGCCCAAGCUGCCAAGUCCGUCAGCAGGCCAACCGCAAAACAUGCAGUGCUUGUUUUGCCACACUGCCAAGCAAGCGGUUAUUAAAAACUGCAAAAAUUAAUGAUGACUGGGGCCAGAGGGUCGUCAAAAACAAAAAUGCAUCUCGGGUGGUGGCCUCUGCCCAAAUAGCUGUCCAAAAAAACUUUCUGCCUUGGGCUAUAUGCCCAUAUUAUUUAUCAGCCAGAGGCACAAGGGCACAGGCAAGUUGAUGGCAGAUGUAGUCACGCAUCUGCCACCGACGCAAAACAACACACGUUUCUUAACCAGCAUGAAGAGGGCAUAUGACUUCAUAAUCAAACUGGAUGAUGUGCCCCAGCCCCAGCCCCAGCAAGACCAGCCCCUGCCCCUAGACCGGCUAAUCCCACAAGACCAGCCCCUAGACCAGCCCCUGCCCCUAGACCAGCCCCAGCAAGACCAGCCCCUGCCCCUAGACCAGCUAAUCCCACAAGACCAGCCUACCCCAACAGACCAGCAAAUUAUUACACUUGAACUAUUUACGAUCGACUCUCAGGCUCAGCAGCAUGUGGAGCCUCUACCACCCAGGAAAAGACAAACCCCACUAUCCACCCCGCGCCUACCAUCCACCCCAGGCCAAGGCAGACGAGCCCCACCAUCCAUCCAACCUCAACUAAAGAAAAGACAAACCACAGGUAAAGGAGCCACACAGGCCCCACCCUCUACCCUGGCCAAAAAGAAGAAAACAAAAAGUUGCAAAUGCAGUCGACAGACAAUUUAUCCAUACGAUAAAAUAUUGGGAAGACGGAUGAAUGGGGGGAAGGCAGCAGAGGUCAAAGUGCACUGGCUACCUUGCUCUUCCUGUGGCAGAGUCUGGGAGGACACCUGGGAGCCGGCCAGCAAAUUCGCCUGAUGACCAAUACUGUUGUACUAUUUGUUUUGUAUAUAUUUGUCAAUAAUUAAAUUCACUAUUGUUACAUUUUAUGAUUUGUCUGUCAAUCAAUGACUGCACUGAAUAAUUAAUGUGUCAUGACUUUGUGCUGUAUUUGAUGGGAAAAGUGAGAUAGCUGAAAGUUGC
ensembl:lncRNA